CGGUAAUACGUAGGGUGCAAGCGUUAAUCGGAAUUACUGGGCGUAAAGCGUGCGCAGGCGGUUUGGUAAGACAGAUGUGAAAUCCCCGGGCUCAACCUGGGAAUUGCAUUUGUGACUGCCCGACUAGAGUGUGUCAGAGGGGGGUAGAAUUCCACGUGUAGCAGUGAAAUGCGUAGAGAUGUGGAGGAAUACCGAUGGCGAAGGCAGCCCCCUGGGAUAACACUGACGCUCAUGCACGAAAGCGUGGGGAGCAAACAGGAUUAGAUACCCUAG
rnacentral:rRNA from 1 species